ACUCGAGGAGGGGUUUUAGUCGGUAGGCGCUUCGGCGAAUCCGACACUACCCCCUUCAGGGAGUGUCUUUUGAAGAUUUCCCCUCCUCG
rfam:Agrilus planipennis Contig52384, whole genome shotgun sequence.